CCUACGGGAGGCAGCAGUGAGGAAUAUUGGUCAAUGGCCGAGAGGCUGAACCAGCCAAGUCGCGUGAGGGAAGACGGCCCUACGGGUUGUAAACCUCUUUUGUCGGGGAGCAAAGCGAACCACGUGUGGUUCAUUGAGAGUACCCGAAGAAAAAGCAUCGGCUAACUCCGUGCCAGCAGCCGCGGUAAUACGGAGGGUGCAAGCGUUACUCGGAAUCACUGGGCGUAAAGAGCGCGUAGGCGGGAUAGCAAGUCAGAUGUGAAAUCCUAUGGCUUAACCAUAGAACUGCAUUUGAAACUGUUUCCCUUGAGUGUCGGAGAGGUAAUCGGAAUUCCUUGUGUAGCGGUGAAAUGCGUAGAUAUAAGGAAGAACACCAGUGGCGAAGGCGGAUUACUGGACGAUAACUGACGGUGAGGCGCGAAAGCGUGGGGAGCAAACAGGAUUAGAUACCCUAGUAGUC
rnacentral:rRNA from 1 species